rnacentral:rRNA from 1 species
UACGUAGGGGGCAAGCGUUGUCCGGAUUUAUUGGGCGUAAAGAGCGUGUAGGCGGCCAAGUAAGUCUGCUGUGAAAACUCGAGGCUUAACCUCGAGCUGUCGGCGGAAACUAUUUGGCUAGAGUCCGGAAGAGGAGAAUGGAAUUCCCGGUGUAGCGGUGGAAUGCGUAGAGAUCGGGAAGAACAUCAGUGGCGAAGGCGGCCUGGCUGGGCUGUUGCUGACGCUGAGGCGCGACAGCGUGGGGGAGCAAACAGG